rnacentral:rRNA from 1 species
GACGAACGCUGGCGGCGUGCUUAACACAUGCAAGUCGAACGGAAAGGCCUCUUUCGGGGGGUACUCGAGUGGCGAACGGGUGAGUAACACGUGAGUAACCUGCCCUUGACUUUGGGAUAACUUCAGGAAACUGGGGCUAAUACCGGAUAGGAGCUCCUGCUGCAUGGUGGGGGUUGGAAAGUUUCGGCGGUUGGGGAUGGACUCGCGGCUUAUCAGCUUGUUGGUGGGGUAGUGGCUUACCAAGGCUUUGACGGGUAGCCGGCCUGAGAGGGUGACUGGCCACAUUGGGACUGAGAUACGGCCCAGACUCCUACGGGGGGCAGCAGUGGGGAAUAUUGCACAAUGGGUGGAAGCCUGAUGCAGCAACGCCGUGUGCGGGAUGACGGCCUUCGGGUUGUAAACCGCUUUCGCUCAUGACGAAGCUUUGUGUGACGGUAGUGGGUAAAGAAGCACCGGCUAACUACGUG